rnacentral:lncRNA from 1 species
AUUCUGUAUAGCUUUUUGAUUUAUUUUUUAAAAGAGUAAUAUUUGAUAGAUAAGAAGCGUCAUCAAAUAUCCAGAAGGAUUAAUACCAUAUUCUACAUUAAAGUCGUUUUUUCAAAAUAAGAUAAAUUAUUUUAUAGAUGAAAUAUACUAUUCUACUGAAUUGUGAAUUGCAACUCUUUUUAGAAAAGGAGUAAAAAUUAAACUACUAGCUUCUGAUCAUGCAAGAAAAUUUUUGUAUCAAAUAAGUUAUCACUUUAUUUCUUAUUUCGAUAUUCGAAUCACUACAACAGAAUUAGGUUAUGGGGACACAUGUUUGGGACACUUUUGAGUAAGUGUCCCAUUUAUACUAAAACUUAAAAAAAUAUCUACUUAUGCCGAAAUAUAAAGCCCAAUCCAACUAAAAAUAAAAAAUUACUUUAUUAAACCCACCACACCCAGUCCAUUUGACCCGAUUACAAACAGAAAAGAAAAAAAAAAAAGAAAAAUCAAUUACCAUCUUUUCUUCUCUAUUCACUCAAUCCACUGGAAUUCUAGACGAAGAGCAUUUCCUGUCGUCCUCCUCCGCCACCGCAGCCAACGAGAUAGAGUUUCGGCGGUUGCUAAAUGCUUAAAUAAGUGUUGGUAAAUUAGCAGCACUCUUUUAGGUUAUAGCGACACUCUUUAACUGUCACUAUAUACCUAGCGACCCCAUAUAUAGCAACACUUUUUAAAAAUGUCGGUAAUUUUAGCUAGCAGCACUUUUUUGACAUGUACCUACAUUUAAAAGUGUCGCUAUAGACCGUUUUUGUUGUAGUGAAUAUAUAAGGCCUAAGUGAAACUGCAGUCUCUAUGGUAACAACUUACGCUUUUAGACUAC